rnacentral:rRNA from 1 species
GGUUAAGCGACUAAGCGUACACGGUGGAUGCCCUGGCAGUCAGAGGCGAUGAAGGACGUGCUAAUCUGCGAAAAGCGUCGGUAAGGUGAUAUGAACCGUUACAGCCGGCGAUGUCCGAAUGGGGAAACCCAGUGCAAUUCGUUGCACUAUCGUUAACUGAAUACAUAGGUUAACGAGGCGAACCGGGGGAACUGAAACAUCUAAGUACCCCGAGGAAAAGAAAUCAACCGAGAUUCCCCCAGUAGCGGCGAGCGAACGGGGAGCAGCCCAGAGUCUGAAUCAGCUUGUGUGUUAGUGGAACGGUCUGGAAAGUCCGACGGUACAGGGUGAUAGUCCCGUACACCAAAAUGCACAGGCUGUGAACUCGAAGAGUAGGGCGGGACACGUGGUAUCCUGUCUGAAUAUGGGGGGACCAUCCUCCAAGGCUAAAUACUCCUGACUGACCGAUAGUGAACCAGUACCGUGAGGGAAAGGCGAAAAGAACCCCGGCGAGGGGAGUGAAAAAGAACCUGAAACCGUGUACGUACAAGCAGUGGGAGCACCUUCGGGUGUGACUGCGUACCUUUUGUAUAAUGGGUCAGCGACUUAUAUUCUGUAGCAAGGUUAACCGUAUAGGGGAGCCGCAGGGAAACCGAGUCUUAACUGGGCGUUAAGUUGCAGGGUAUAGACCCGAAACCCGGUGAUCUAGCCAUGGGCAGGUUGAAGGUUGGGUAACACUAACUGGAGGACCGAACCGACUAAUGUUGAAAAAUUAGCGGAUGACUUGUGGCUGGGGGUGAAAGGCCAAUCAAACCGGGAGAUAGCUGGUUCUCCCCGAAAGCUAUUUAGGUAGCGCCUCGUGAAUUCAUCUUCGGGGGUAGAGCACUGUUUCGGCUAGGGGGUCAUCCCGACUUACCAACCCGAUGCAAACUACGAAUACCGAAGAAUGUUAUCACGGGAGACACACGGCGGGUGCUAACGUCCGUCGUGAAGAGGGAAACAACCCAGACCGCCAGCUAAGGUCCCAAAGUCAUGGUUAAGUGGGAAACGAUGUGGGAAGGCACAGACAGCCAGGAUGUUGGCUUAGAAGCAGCCAUCAUUUAAAGAAAGCGUAAUAGCUCACUGGUCGAGUCGGCCUGCGCGGAAGAUGUAACGGGGCUAAACCAUGCACCGAAGCUGCGGCAGCGACACUAUGUGUUGUUGGGUAGGGGAGCGUUCUGUAAGCCUGCGAAGGUGACCUGUGAGGGUUGCUGGAGGUAUCAGAAGUGCGAAUGCUGACAUAAGUAACGAUAAAGCGGGUGAAAAGCCCGCUCGCCGGAAGACCAAGGGUUCCUGUCCAACGUUAAUCGGGGCAGGGUGAGUCGACCCCUAAGGCGAGGCCGAAAGGCGUAGUCGAUGGGAAACAGGUUAAUAUUCCUGUACUUGGUGUUACUGCGAAGGGGGGACGGAGAAGGCUAUGUUAGCCGGGCGACGGUUGUCCCGGUUUAAGCAUGUAGGCUGGUUAUCCAGGCAAAUCCGGAUAAUCAAGGCUGAGGUGUGAUGACGAGGCACUACGGUGCUGAAGUAACAAAUGCCCUGCUUCCAGGAAAAGCCUCUAAGCAUCAGGUAACAUCAAAUCGUACCCCAAACCGACACAGGUGGUCAGGUAGAGAAUACCAAGGCGCUUGAGAGAACUCGGGUGAAGGAACUAGGCAAAAUGGUGCCGUAACUUCGGGAGAAGGCACGCUGGUGUGUAGGUGAAGUCCCUGCGGAUGGAGCUGAGACCAGUCGAAGAUACCAGCUGGCUGCAACUGUUUAUUAAAAACACAGCACUGUGCAAACACGAAAGUGGACGUAUACGGUGUGACGCCUGCCCGGUGCCGGAAGGUUAAUUGAUGGGGUUAUCCGUAAGGAGAAGCUCUUGAUCGAAGCCCCGGUAAACGGCGGCCGUAACUAUAACGGUCCUAAGGUAGCGAAAUUCCUUGUCGGGUAAGUUCCGACCUGCACGAAUGGCGUAAUGAUGGCCAGGCUGUCUCCACCCGAGACUCAGUGAAAUUGAACUCGCUGUGAAGAUGCAGUGUACCCGCGGCAAGACGGAAAGACCCCGUGAACCUUUACUAUAGCUUGACACUGAACAUUGAGCCUUGAUGUGUAGGAUAGGUGGGAGGCUUUGAAGCGUGGACGCCAGUCUGCGUGGAGCCAACCUUGAAAUACCACCCUUUAAUGUUUGAUGUUCUAACGUUGGCCCCUUACCGGGGUUGCGGACAGUGUCUGGUGGGUAGUUUGACUGGGGCGGUCUCCUCCCAAAGCGUAACGGAGGAGCACGAAGGUUAGCUAAUCCUGGUCGGACAUCAGGAGGUUAGUGCAAUGGCAUAAGCUAGCUUGACUGCGAGCGUGACGGCGCGAGCAGGUGCGAAAGCAGGUCAUAGUGAUCCGGUGGUUCUGAAUGGAAGGGCCAUCGCUCAACGGAUAAAAGGUACUCCGGGGAUAACAGGCUGAUACCGCCCAAGAGUUCAUAUCGACGGCGGUGUUUGGCACCUCGAUGUCGGCUCAUCACAUCCUGGGGCUGAAGUAGGUCCCAAGGGUAUGGCUGUUCGCCAUUUAAAGUGGUACGCGAGCUGGGUUUAGAACGUCGUGAGACAGUUCGGUCCCUAUCUGCCGUGGGCGCUGGAGAAUUGAGGGGGGCUGCUCCUAGUACGAGAGGACCGGAGUGGACGCAUCACUGGUGUUCGGGUUGUCAUGCCAAUGGCACUGCCCGGUAGCUAAAUGCGGAAGAGAUAAGUGCUGAAAGCAUCUAAGCACGAAACUUGCCCCGAGAUGAGUUCUCCCUGAGACUUUAAGUCUCCUGAAGGAACGUUGAAGACGAUGACGUUGAUAGGCCGGGUGUGUAAGCGCAGCGAUGCGUUGAGCUAACCGGUACUAAUGAACCGUGAGGCUUAACCUU